CCUGCAUAAAGGGGGCAGCGAUGAGACGGCAGCAAUGAGACACAAGCUCUUCAGCCCCAAGGCCAUAGCACCCCUGAGAGUGAGCUCCUUCCGGAAGCUUCUCAGGCUCCCUGAAGCUGCUGGGGAACUAGAAGCGUUCAGUCUGGGUCACCUAGCAUGACACCCCGGGAAGCACAGCCCCAGCUCUGACUCCGAGCUCUGGGGGCGAGAGGGGGCUCUCGCAUCAGCACGUGGCAGUCCCUCAAUGUCGAACCCAGAAGAGUGAAGAAAAACCAAGAGACAACAGCCGGCCUCGGUCCUGAGCCCGACCGGCCUUCGGCAUUGACCCCAGCAGCGCCCCGUGGUGUGGCUGCUGCUACGCGACCCCCCGGGGGAUGCGGAGGCCCUGGGGCUGCUGAGCAAGCUGCCACGUGGUGCCUGCCAUGCUGGGGUCUGAGGCCCCCCACCUGCCGUGGCCCCGACACACAUAGCACAUCAUGGGACCUGCGGUUCACAGAGGAUUGUACUCCCAGGGGCUCUGCCGACCCUACAACCAACCCCCACCACGAGGGGCGGCAAGGACAGGAUCAGCCCACUUUGUGAAUGAAGAAGCUGAGGCCCAGGGACGUGAAGGGCACACGGGGGCUGGACUCCUGGCCAGGAGGUAAGGGGCGGGCAGGGUCUCUGCAGACGGAAAAGAUGGAAAGGCGUUCCCGGCUGAAGGAGCAGCGCUGCGGAAACAGCAAGGCCUGGAGACCCUCUAAGGCUGCCAGCCCCCUCGAGGGCUGCAGCCACAGAAGGCGGGGGUGGGGGUGGCGGGGGCAAGGACCCAGAGAGGGCCUGGGGUCAAAGGUCAUCCAUACUCUGGCCUCUUCGCACACACUGUUCCUUCAGUCAGAUGCCGCCCGGCCUUGCCCAGCUCCCAUGCCCUCCAAUCUAAACUAAAACGCAGCGCCCCUCCCAAAUGCUUUCUCAGCCAUCCCUAUUCCAGAGCAGGAACAAAGACGCUGGGACCAGCUCAAGACACAGACGUCUGGACAGCCUUACUGGAGACGGUGGGGACUUGGAGGCCAGGGAGGGCGAGGGGCCGGGGGGACAAGGAGGGGCGGAGGAGGGGAAGCUUUGGUCCAGCCUGGCAGCCUGAGGUCCAGUCCUACUCUGCCUACCCCGCCGUUAGGCGAGUCCAGCCCUGCAGGAGUGCCCUAAGCACUAAAGAGAUUUCCCCAGCUUGCCAGCUUUCACCCCGGAGCUCAGCAGAUGGCUGUGACUGCCUAUGGUGGGGUCUCCGGCAGCUUGCUUCCCGCAAAGCUCCUUCCAGGGCUCAGGGCUUCCUUCGGGGUUUCCUGCUACGGGAGAUUUGGAGACAGAUGUGCCACAUGAAGGAGAGGAUGGCCCUCUGCAAGCCAAGGAGGCAGGCCUGGAACGGACCCUUCCCUCUGGCCCUCGGAAGAACCCAGCCUGCUGACACCUUGAUUUCAG
rnacentral:lncRNA from 1 species